rnacentral:snoRNA from 1 species
AUCCCAUGAUGAGGACACUUACGAAGUAACUUCUUGAAUCGCUCCCAAGCCUCAUGCAAACCUCGUCAUCCAAUUGUUGGAAAGUUGUAAUCUUGUUCCUCAACUU